AUUGAACGCUGGCGGCAUGCUUUACACAUGCAAGUCGAACGGUAACAGGUUAAGCUGACGAGUGGCGAACGGGUGAGUAAUGCAUCGGAACGUGCCCGAUCGUGGGGGAUAACGCAGCGAAAGCUGCGCUAAUACCGCAUACGAUCUGAGGAUGAAAGCGGGGGACCGUAAGGCCUCGCGCGAUCGGAGCGGCCGAUGUCAGAUUAGGUAGUUGGUGGGGUAAAGGCCCACCAAGCCGACGAUCUGUAGCUGGUCUGAGAGGACGACCAGCCACACUGGGACUGAGACACGGCGCAGACUCCUACGGGAGGCAGCAGUGGGGAAUUUUGGACAAUGGGCGAAGGCCUGAUCCGGCAAGGCCGCGUGCAGGAAGAAGGCCUUCGGGUUGUAAACUGCUUUUGUACGGAGCGAAAAGGUCCUUUCUAAUACAAGGGGCUCAUGACGGUACCGUAAGAAUAAGCACCGGCUAACUACGUGCCAGCAGCCGCCGUAAGAC
rnacentral:rRNA from 1 species